GUCCAAUUCCGCACCUGAAGCGCACUGGUUUGUUGUACCACAUAAACGGAGCACUUGAAAACUUAUUGGUAAAAGCGCAUCGACUAGUGGCGAAAGAAACAAACAAUAGAGCCGAGUUAUAUAUGUCAUUGUUGGCAAAACUGAAUUGUGGAAAACGUUUGAAUUUGACGCAAUGAAAUUCUUUCCAAAACAGAGCAUAUAUAACCGGCUUGCGUUACAAUGAAGGUGUAUCAUGGCAACAACGGGGAUUACAAG